rnacentral:tRNA from 1 species
GCAUCCAUUGCAUAGUGGUUAGUGAGCUUAGCUUAUAACUAAGGGGUUGUGAGUUUGAUUCUCAGGUGACGUG